rnacentral:rRNA from 1 species
GGCCAGACUCCUACGGGAGGCAGCAGUGGGGAAUAUUGCACAAUGGGGGAAACCCUGAUGCAGCGACGCCGCGUGAGUGAAGAAGUAUUUCGGUAUGUAAACUUCUAUCAGCAGGGAAGAAAAUGACGGUACCUGACUAAGAAGCCCCGGCUAACUACGUGCCAGCAGCCGCGGUAAUACGUAGGGGGCAAGCGUUAUCCGGAUUUACUGGGUGUAAAGGGGGCGCAGACGGCGAUGCAAGCCAGGAGUGAAAGCCCGGGGCCCAACCCCGGGACUGCUCUUGGAACUGCGUGGCUGGAGUGCAGGAGGGGCAGGCGGAAUUCCUGGUGUAGCGGUGAAAUGCGUAGAUAUCAGGAGGAACACCGGUGGCGAAGGCGGCCUGCUGGACUGCGACUGACGUUGAGGCCCGAAAGCGUGGGGAGCAAACAGGAUUAGAUACCCCAGUACGG